CCUACGGGAGGCAGCAGUGAGGAAUAUUGGUCAAUGGCCGGAAGGCUGAACCAGCCAAGUCGCGUGAGGGACGACUGCCCUAUGGGUUGUAAACCUCUUUUAUAAGGGAAGAAUAAAUGCUACGUGUGGCAUGAUGCCUGUACCUUAUGAAUAAGCAUCGGCUAACUCCGUGCCAGCAGCCGCGGUAAUACGGAGGAUGCCAACGUUAUCCGGAUUUAGUGGGGUUAAGGGGUUCGUAGGCGGGUUUUUAAGUUAGUGGUUAAAUGUCGGGGCUUCACCCUGAUUGGCCAUUAAUACUGUCAUACUUGAGUUGAGACGAGGUAGGCGGAAUAAGUUAAGUAGCGGUGAAAUGCUUAGAUAUAACUUAGAACCCCGAUAGCGAAGGCAGCUUACCAGACUGCGACUGACGCUGAAGCACGAGAGCGUGGGUAGCGAACAGGAUUAGAUACCCUGGUAGUC
rnacentral:rRNA from 1 species